UAGUCCUUUACAUAAAGAAACUGCGCAACGAGGAAUGUCCAUUCGGGACCUCCGUUCAAAUUUUUUCCAUGAAAUUGAAUGGAUUUUGAAGCAUUUUCCUUCUGUUUUUUUUUUUCCACCCAGUUUGGGUCAAUUGGAAUGCAGAUUGAGGAUCUUUUGGUGUUGGGAAGUAUUUCACGCUUUGAUGGCUCUGUCUCACUGUCUGACUGUCUGAAUUUUCAUAUUCCAGGUAAAUAAUGAUGGUUCAGUUCAGCUAUCUGAUGCACUUUCACUCGAUGCGUAUACUUAUCGUGCAAGAAACUAUCUGAUUAUGAAAGGCUAGUUCAGAUUACCUUCUCAUCGCCAUAUCUGGCCCAAAAGCGUGCAGUGGCUCGCUCAAGAGGAUCUUCCGGCAGUAAGGGAUUCUCCUUCCAUGUUUCGUCGACAUAUUCAAGAAUUAUGAGUGACUCAACAACUGCAUUUCCAUUGUGCAGGAGCACUGGAAUUUUCUUAUGAAUAGGGUUAGACUGAAGAAGUAAAGGGCUUUUGUUCGAAAGAUCUUCGUAGAUUGUUUCGUAAGGGAUGCCUUUAAGUUGCAGCGCCCAAACGAUUCUCAGGCCGAAAGGGCUUGACCAUGUCCUAAGGAGUUUCACUUCUGCCAUUUUUGCUGGUAGUUUGAGCUAUCUUCUGCUAGGCAGGCCUUUUAUGCUUAAUUUUCAGUGUGGAAUUUCGCAUUGUCUCCCUAGACUUCAUUGUAUUUAUUAUUGAAGCCUUCUAUAUUGUAAAAUUUGAAUUGCUCCCCCGUA